rnacentral:rRNA from 1 species
UACGUAGGGGGCUAGCGUUGUCCGGAAUCAUUGGGCGUAAAGCGCGUGUAGGCGGUCCGGUAAGUCCGCUGUGAAAGCCAGGGGCUCAACCCUUGGAUGCCGGUGGAUACUGUCGGGCUCGAGUACGGAAGAGGCGAGUGGAAUUCCUGGUGUAGCGGUGAAAUGCGCAGAUAUCAGGAAGAACACCGACGGCGAAGGCAGCUCGCUGGGACGGUACUGACGCUGAGGCGCGAAAGCGUGGGGAGCGAACAGG